CUUAUGCGUUGUUGGGUAGGGGAGCGUUCUGUAAGCCUGUGAAGGUGUGCUGUGAGGCAUGCUGGAGGUAUCAGAAGUGCGAAUGCUGACAUAAGUAACGAUAAAGCGGGUGAAAAGCCCGCUCGCCGGAAGACCAAGGGUUCCUGUCCAACGUUAAUCGGGGCAGGGUGAGUCGACCCCUAAGGCGAGGCCGAAAGGCGUAGUCGAUGGGAAACAGGUUAAUAUUCCUGUACUUGGUGUUACUGCGAAGGGGGGACGGAGAAGGCUAUGUUGGCCGGGCGACGGUUGUCCCGGUUUAAGCGUGUAGGCUGGUUUUCCAGGCAAAUCCGGAAAAUCAAGGCUGAGGCGUGAUGACGAGGCACUACGGUGCUGAAGCAACAAAUGCCCUGCUUCCAGGAAAAGCCUCUAAGCAUCAGGUAACAUCAAAUCGUACCCCAAACCGACACAGGUGGUCAGGUAGAGAAUACCAAGGCGCUUGAGAGAACUCGGGUGAAGGAACUAGGCAAAAUGGUGCCGUAACUUCGGGAGAAGGCACGCUGAUAUGUAGGUGAAGUCCCUUGCGGAUGGAGCUGAAAUCAGUCGAAGAUACCAGCUGGCUGCAACUGUUUAUUAAAAACACAGCACUGUGCAAACACGAAAGUGGACGUAUACGGUGUGACGCCUGCCCGGUGCCGGAAGGUUAAUUGAUGGGGUUAGCGGUAACGCGAAGCUCUUGAUCGAAGCCCCGGUAAACGGCGGCCGUAACUAUAACGGUCCUAAGGUAGCGAAAUUCCUUGUCGGGUAAGUUCCGACCUGCACGAAUGGCGUAAUGAUGGCCAGGCUGUCUCCACCCGAGACUCAGUGAAAUUGAACUCGCUGUGAAGAUGCAGUGUACCCGCGGCAAGACGGAAAGACCCCGUGAACCUUUACUAUAGCUUGACACUGAACAUUGAGCCUUGAUGUGUAGGAUAGGUGGGAGGCUUUGAAGUGUGGACGCCAGUCUGCAUGGAGCCGACCUUGAAAUACCACCCUUUAAUGUUUGAUGUUCUAACGUUGGCCCCUGAUCGGGGUUGCGGACAGUGUCUGGUGGGUAGUUUGACUGGGGCGGUCUCCUCCUAAAGAGUAACGGAGGAGCACGAAGGUUGGCUAAUCCUGGUCGGACAUCAGGAGGUUAGUGCAAUGGCAUAAGCCAGCUUGACUGCGAGCGUGACGGCGCGAGCAGGUGCGAAAGCAGGUCAUAGUGAUCCGGUGGUUCUGAAUGGAAGGGCCAUCGCUCAACGGAUAAAAGGUACUCCGGGGAUAACAGGCUGAUACCGCCCAAGAGUUCAUAUCGACGGCGGUGUUUGGCACCUCGAUGUCGGCUCAUCACAUCCUGGGGCUGAAGUAGGUCCCAAGGGUAUGGCUGUUCGCCAUUUAAAGUGGUACGCGAGCUGGGUUUAGAACGUCGUGAGACAGUUCGGUCCCUAUCUGCCGUGGGCGCUGGAGAACUGAGGGGGGCUGCUCCUAGUACGAGAGGACCGGAGUGGACGCAUCACUGGUGUUCGGGUUGUCAUGCCAAUGGCACUGCCCGGUAGCUAAAUGCGGAAGAGAUAAGUGCUGAAAGCAUCUAAGCACGAAACUUGCCCCGAGAUGAGUUCUCCCUGACUCCUUGAGAGUCCUGAAGGAACGUUGAAGACGACGACGUUGAUAGGCCGGGUGUGUAAGCGCAGCGAUGCGUUGAGCUAACCGGUACUAAUGAACCGUGAGGCUUAACCUUACAAC
rnacentral:rRNA from 1 species